rnacentral:rRNA from 1 species
GACGAACGCUGGCGGCGUGCUUAACACAUGCAAGUCGAACGGAAAGGCCCCUUUGGGGGUACUCGAGUGGCGAACGGGUGAGUAACACGUGAGUAACCUGCCCUUGACUUCGGGAUAACUUCAGGAAACUGGGGCUAAUACCGGAUAGGAAUCCUUGCUGCAUGGUGGGGGUUGGAAAGCUUCGGCGGUUUUGGAUGGACUCACGGCUUAUCAGCUUGUUGGUGGGGUAGUGGCUUACCAAGGCUUUGACGGGUAGCCGGCCUGAGAGGGCGACCGGCCACAUUGGGACUGACAUACGGCCCAGACUCCUACGGGAGGCAGCCGUGGGGAAUAUUGCACAAUGGGCGGAAGCCUGAUGCAGCAACGCCGCGUGCGGGAUGACGGCCUUCGGGUUGUAAACCGCUUUCAGCAGGGGCGAAGCUUGUGGUGACGGUACCUGCAGAAGAAGCACCGGCUAACUACGUG